rnacentral:rRNA from 1 species
UACAGAGGGGGCAAGCGUUGUUCGGAAUUACUGGGCGUAAAGGGCGCGUAGGCGGCCUGUUAAGUCGAACGUGAAAUCCCCGGGCUCAACCCGGGAACUGCGUCCGAUACUGGUAGGCUUGAAUCCGGGAGAGGGAUGCGGAAUUCCAGGUGUAGCGGUGAAAUGCGUAGAUAUCCGGAGGAACACCGGUGGCGAAGGCGGCUUCCUGGACCGACACUGACGCUGAGGCGCGAAAGCUAGGGGAGCAAACGGG